CCCGGUAGUCAUAGCUGUAAACGAUGGAUGCUAGUUGUGGGCGGUAGAAAUUCCCUCUGGGCCGAAGCACACGCGGCACGCAUCCCGCGUGGGGAGUACGCCCGCAAGGAUCUCACCCGAACGGAUCGACGGGGGCACAAACAAGCAACAGGAGCGUGUCGAAUUUAAUUGGAUGACACAGGAAGUACCUUACGUGGGACAGACAUGCACUUGGUAGGGAACCGCAAGGGGACCGACCUUCGGGAGCAUGCACAGGUGCUGCAUGUCUGUCGUCAGCUCGUCCCGUGAGGUGUCGGGUUAACUCCCGUAGCGAGCGCAACCCGUCCCGUUAGUUACGAGUCUCUAAGGGACUCGGCCGGGACAACUGGGAGGAAGGUGGGGACGACCUCAAGUCAGCAUGGCCUUUAUAUCACGGGGCUACACACAGCGCUACAAUGGCCGGUACAAUAGGUUGCAAAGUCGUGAGGCGGAGCAAAUCCUCAAAGCCGGUCUCAGUUCGAAUUGCAGUCUGCAACUCGCCCUGCAUGAAGCUGGAGUUGCUAGUAAUCGCAGGUCAGCUAUACUGCGGUGUUACGUUCCCGGGCCUUGUACACACCGCCCGUCACAUCAUGGGAGCUGUCAACGCCUGAAGCCGGUGAUCUAACCCGUAAGGGAGGC
rnacentral:rRNA from 1 species